AUGGCCGGGAUGUGCCGGGUACGGGGUCCUGGGGGGUUUGGAGGGCUCCGGGCGACCGUGACCCCGCUGGAGUGCGGGGGGGACCUCCAGCCCCCCGGGGGGUCCCUGACUCUGCUCUGCCGCGCCUCCGGGUUCAAUUUCAGAAACUCCUACAUGUGCUGGGUUCGCCAGAGCCCCGGGAGGGCGCUGGAAUGGCUCGCAGAGAUCAGCAGCAGCGGUGGCAGCACCGCCUAUGCGCCGUCGGUGCAGGGCCGGUUCACGAUCUCCAGGGACAACGGGCAGAGCUCGGUGACGCUGACCAUGAACAGCCUCAAGGACGAGGAUUCCGCCGUUUAUUUCUGUGCCACAAACACUGGUGCUGGUUAUGCUGAUGCAUAUGGUGUUGAUGGUUUCGGCCCCGUCCCCUUCCCCAGGUCCCCAAAUGUCCCCAAACUCCAACCCUUGACUGUGACCUUGGGCACUGACCCCGAUUCUUCAGCCCUGGGCCCAAAGUUGAGCUCUGAAUCUUUUUGGUUCCGUUUGAAUUUGUUGGAAUCUUUUUCCUAG